rnacentral:rRNA from 1 species
CUUAGCAUAUCAAUAAGCGGAGGAAAAGAAACCAACAGGGAUUGCCCCAGUAACGGCGAGUGAAGCGGCAAUAGCUCAAAUUUGAAAUCUGGCUCUUUCAGGGUCCGAGUUGUAAUUUGCAGAGGGCGCUUUGGUGUCGGCAGCGGCCUAAGUUCCUUGGAACAGGUCAUCAUAGAGGGUGAGAAUCCCGUAUGUGGCUGCUUGUCUUCACCGUGUAAAGCCCCUUCGAUGAGUCGAGUUGUUUGGGAAUGCAGCUCUAAAUGGGAGGUAAAUUUCUUCUAAAGCUAAAUAUUGGCCAGAGACCGAUAGCGCACAAGUAGAGUGAUCGAAAGAUGAAAAGCACUUUGGAAAGAGAGUCAAAAAGCACGUGAAAUUGUUGAAAGGGAAGCGCUUGCAGCCAGACGUGCCCGUAGUUGCUCAUCUGGGGAUUUCCCCAGUGCACUCUUCUAUGGGCAGGCCAGCAUCAGUUCGGGCGGUUGGAGAAAGACCUGUGUCACGUAGCUCUCUUCGGGGAGUGUUAUAGGGCAGGUGGAAUGCAACCAGCCUGGACUGAGGUCCGCGCAUCUGCUAGGAUGCUGGCGUAAUGGCUGUAAGCGGCCCGUCUUGAAACACGGACCAAGGAGUCUAACAUCUAUGCGAGUGUUUGGGUGUCAAGCCCGAGCGCGUAAUGAAAGUGAACGGAGGUGGGAACCCCUCGGGGUGCACCAUCGACCGAUCCUGAUGUCUUCGGAUGGAUUUGAGUAAGAGCAUAGCUGUUGGGACCCGAAAGAUGGUGAACUAUGCCUGAAUAGGGUGAAGCCAGAGGAAACUCUGGUGGAGGCUCGCAGCGGUUCUGACGUGCAAAUCGAUCGUCAAAUUUGGGCAUAGGGGCGAAAGACUAAUCGAACUAUCUAGUAGCUGGUUCCUGCCG